rnacentral:misc_RNA from 1 species
AACAGGAAGCAGAGAUGGCCGAACAAAAGCAUCUCCUUAUGUGUAAUCAUCUCUACAUAUAUAAGGUGGUUGUGGUUCUUCACCAUUGAGGACCAUUUCUUGGACACGUUUUGAUAGCAAAACUUCAACAGGAAGAGUGGAGAUUCUGGCCAUGUUUAAUGAUAAAGAACUGUGAGGAAUGAUGCUUUUUGUAAUUUCACCAAAAAAUAAAGAGGAAAUUUGCAUAUUGCCGGAAGAUGUAUAUGAAUAAAUCAAGGAAACAAG